GAAACCCGGUGAUCUAGCCAUGGGCAGGUUGAAGGUUGGGUAACACUAACUGGAGGACCGAACCGACUAAUGUUGAAAAAUUAGCGGAUGACCUGUGGCUGGGGGUGAAAGGCCAAUCAAACCGGGAGAUAGCUGGUUCUCCCCGAAAGCUAUUUAGGUAGCGCCUCGUGAAUUCAUCUCCGGGGGUAGAGCACUGUUUCGGCCAGGGGGCCAUCCCGGCUUACCAAUCCGAUGCAAACUGCGAAUACCGGAGAAUGUUAUCACGGGAGACACACGGCGGGUGCUAACGUCCGUCGUGAAGAGGGAAACAACCCAGACCGCCAGCUAAGGUCCCAAAGUCAUGGUUAAGUGGGAAACGAUGUGGGAAGGCCCAGACAGCCAGGAUGUUGGCUUAGAAGCAGCCAUCAUUUAAAGAAAGCGUAAUAGCUCACUGGUCGAGUCGGCCUGCGCGGAAGAUGUAACGGGGCUAAACCAUGCACCGAAGCUGCGGCAGCGACACUGAUGUGUUGUUGGGUAGGGGAGCGUUCUGUAAGCCGUUGAAGGUGUGUCGUGAGGCAUGCUGGAGGUAUCAGAAGUGCGAAUGCUGACAUAAGUAACGAUAAAGCGGGUGAAAAGCCCGCUCGCCGGAAGACCAAGGGUUCCUGUCCAACGUUAAUCGGGGCAGGGUGAGUCGACCCCUAAGGCGAGGCCGAAAGGCGUAGUCGAUGGGAAACGGGUUAAUAUUCCCGUACUUGGUGUUACUGCGAAGG
rnacentral:rRNA from 1 species